rnacentral:lncRNA from 1 species
GUCGGUCAGUGGACAUGGCCGAGGCCCGCGGUGUCCGCGUGUGGGAGCUGCAGGGCUGAGGAGAGGCCGCCCGCAACCCUCGGGAAUCGUGUGAGGUGCCACUGGGGUCGCUUCACAUCAGGAGGCCCCGUCUCGGGGGACGCGCGCAGUCCCUUUAUAGGCACAACUGCUUAAAGAAACCAGAUGGCCCCAGGAUGGUGCCAGAGCUUCCUGACCCCUUAUCAGAUACCAGAGGAAGAUAAGACUGCAGAGCGGAACAGGAUAGGCAACCCCUGCUUCUGGUGGCUGCCCCAGCAUUCCUGAGCGUGUGGCUGCGAAACUCCAGUCUCUGCCCCCACCUUCACAUCAUCUUCUCCAUGUCUCCUUACCUUCCUUUGCCUCUGUCUUGAAAAGACACUGUGAUGGCAUUUAGGACCCACCCAGCUAAUUCAGUGUGUUCUCAUCUGCAGAUCCUUGAUCAAGUCACAUUUGCAGAGACCUCUUUUUCAAAUAAGAGACGAGGUCUCACUAUGUUGGCCAGGUUGGUCUCGAAUUCCUGGCCGCAAGCCGUUCUCCAGUCUGGGCCUCCCAAAGUGCUAGGAUUACAGGAACAGAAUUGCCAUUGGGCCCAGGGAGAGACUACACUUCUUGUCUGCUUUGUUGCUAGUGCGGCCUUGUGGCCAAGCACAGAACGUGUGCAGUGAUGAUGGUGCAACUUCUAGGUCGUCCCCAGCAUGGAAAAUGAGCCCUGGGCAUGGAAGAUGAGCCCUGGUCCUGCAGCGGUGCUCUUUCCUCUUCUCACAAGCUGGAAUGUGCAUGUGCUCCCACCCAGCUUUGACCAUGGGGCGAAAACAGUACUCUGCAGUCUGGCAGAGCAACAAGGUGGAAAGGGCCUGGGUCCUUGAGUGACGUCAUGAGCCCUCUCACUGUCCCGACUUUGGGACUGUUAUAUGAUAAGGACUUUCUGUGAGUCACUGUCUUUUAGAGUCUCUCUGUUUUAGCUGCCUGGACUUUAUCCUGAAUAAUAUGGCUGUUAUCAUGGGUAUAGUGUUACUAUGAGCCUCAUCUAAGUAAUUUCUACUCUGCCUUUGACCACUAAACUCAUGUUGGACAAG